rnacentral:rRNA from 1 species
GAUGAACGCUGGCGGCGUGCCUAAUACAUGCAAGUCGGGCGAACGGACGAGAAGCUUGCUUCUCUGAUGUUAGCGGCGGACGGGUGAGUAACACGUGGAUAACCUACCUAUAAGACUGGGAUAACUUCGGGAAACCGUAGCUAGUACCGGAUAAUAUUUUGAACCGCAUGGUUCAAAAGUGAAAGACGGUCUUGCUGUCACUUAUAGAUGGAUCCGCGCUGCAUUAGCUAGUUGGUAAGGUAACGGCUUACCAAGGCAACGAUGCAUAGCCGACCUGAGAGGGUGAUCGGCCACACUGGAACUGAGACACGGUCCAGACUCCUACGGGAGGCAGCAGUAGGGAAUCUUCCGCAAUGGGCGAAAGCCUGACGGAGCAACGCCGCGUGAGUGAUGAAGGUCUUCGGAUCGUAAAACUCUGUUAUUAGGGAAGAACAUAUGUGUAAGUAACUGUGCACAUCUUGACGGUACCUAAUCAGAAAGCCACGGCUAACUACGUG